UUGCCUGUUUUGCCUUUUCUUCUGGUGCUUCCUCAGAAACUUCGCUGACUUCUUCCUUAAUAUCAGCUGAAGGAACAAUAACUUCAUCCUGAACUUCCUUUUCCUGGGUUUCUUCACAGGUUGUGAGAGUUGGAGAAUCAGAGGUAGACAUUGAUUCAGAAACUUCAUGGGUUUCUUCAGCAACCUCAGUUGCAGCAUCUACCUUCGGUAAGUUUUCAAUUUCCUGGUUUUCAUUUUUAACUUCAGCCUCCUCAUGGUUGACACUCAGCUCUUCUUCUUCUUCUUUUUCUUCUUGUUUUGGCUUGUCCUCUGGUAUUUCCUUAGAAAUUACUUCAGCUGCUGGUUCUGGAAUUCGAAUGGCUUCUUCCUUAACGUCAGCUAAAGGAAUAAUAACUUCAUCCUGAACUUCUUGUUUGCGACUUUCUGCUUCAACUUCUGGGACCUUGACCUCUUCGACACCUUCUUCUUGCUUGCAUUCUUCUAGCACCUCAGGUUCUUCUGCAGUCUUCUUGUCCGUGUUUUUUAUUCCUUCCAUUUGGAUUUCAGGAUAUGAUUCUCCAUCUUCCGAUUUGUGUUCUUCAGGGAGAGACUGAACUUCCUGCGCUGCUUCAUUGGGUUCUGCGAUUGUCUUCAAAGUGGAAUCUGAAGCCACAAUUUCCUGCUUCAAUUCGACUUCAGGAUUUUCCCUUUCUUGGAAAUUAGCUGCUUCAAUCUCUACUCUUUCCUUGGUUAUAGUUGAGCUUUCGUGCUCCUUCUUCUCCGGAAUCACUGCAGGGGGGUGUACUUCUGAUUCGUUCUCCUCGACGGUGUCCUCAAAUGCGUCCUUCUCAACUCGAGGCUCUAACUCGGAGACGUGGAAAUCUCUUGAACCUUGUUCUUCUUGCCUGCUUGUGGGAGAUGAAGAAACAGUGGUAGACAGUGAUUCAGAAACUUGUGGGGUUUCUUCCAGAGUCUCAGCUACAGCAUCUCCCUUCUGUAAAAUUUCACUUUCCUGUGCGUCAUCUGCAACUUCGGGCUCCACUUGGUUGAUACUCGGCACCUCUUCUAGUUGUGCAGGAGCUUCUUUUGCAUGUUUUGGCUUGUCUUCUGGUGUUUCCUCGGAGAUUUCUCUGACUUCUUCCUUAAUGUCAGCUGAAGGAACGAUAACUUCAUCCUGAACUUCCUUUUCCUGGGUUUCUUCUUCAAUGGUUGUAGUGGAAGUUGGAGAAUCAGAGGUAGACAGUGAUUCCGAAACUUCUUGGGUUUCUUCAGAAACCUCAGCUGCAGCAUCUGCCUUCUGUAUGUUUUGACUUUCCUGGCUGUCAUUUGCAACUUCAUCCUCGCCAUGGUUGGCACUCAGCUCCUCUUCUUCUUCUUCCUGGU
rnacentral:lncRNA from 1 species